rnacentral:tRNA from 1 species
GGGUGUGGCUCAGUGGUAGAAUGUACUUAGCAUGCCUGAGGCCCCUGGGUUCAAUCCCCAGCACCACA